AUCUUGUCCCUGGCCCAUUGAGAACCUUGUUCCCCUUAGAUUGUUGGCCAGAAACUCUGGUCUCCCUAUUGUGUUUCUGCCCCACAUCAUUCUAGUGUGGAAACUGCAUUCUAUCUCAAGAACCCCUUGAAAUCCAAGCCCCUAUACACCCUCAGUGUAUUAUGCACUUAUUUCCCUGUGGCCUCUCUGGACACAACCAGCUGAUUCCUGAACGUGCGGUCACUGGGAGGCACAGUUGUCCCUCUUCGGGGCCGAGGCUAAUUGCUUCCCCAAACCUGCAGCUCCUCCAAACUAACGUGUCCCAGAUUCCAUUACCAACCCUGCCUCAAACUCACAGUGAGACUCAACAACCACAUUAUCAUGUGGCGGCAGAUGUAAUUAGUUGGAUUCAUCCUCUGGGGAACAUGUCUGCCCACAAUUUCAUGGCAAUCCACCCAAAAGGUGUUGAGCUAUUCAUUCCUGACCAAAGUGGCGACUGACCAGCAGACACACAGGCUGACACUGCGGCAGAACGGCCUCAUGUUGUACUUCUUCCAGCAUUCGAGGCGGUUUCACGCCGUCUGUCUGGCAUCAUGCAGCAGACUCACACUGAGCGCCGCUCGCAUUAGAAUUCAGAUUGAUCAGCUCGAUCCCAUAAUUCAUUUCUGCUCUGGUGGGAGCAUUGUCACCAAGCACAAGUGGCCAUCCAGUUGUCUGAUGAGCAUGAUAAUUAUUUCAGCCAUAUGCCAAGGAUUUUCAAAGCACCUGCUCUGGACCCAACAUCAGGCGGAGAUGGACCGGAGCCGAAGACACUGUUUGCCACUGACAAACCACCAUUAUUGACUUUCUCCUUAUUCAUUAUUUGCCUCUUUAUCUUGCACUGUUUGUCCUUUUUUUCCCUU